AAAACAUGGUCUUUUGUUUAAAUAAAAGAUCUGGCCUGCCCAAUGAUUUUUUAAUGGCUGCAGUAUAUUGACUGUACAAAGGUAGCAUAAUCAUUUGUCCUUUAAUUGAGGUCUGGAAUGAAUGGUUGGAUGAAGAAUAGACUUUCUUUAUUUUAUAAGUAAAAUUUAAUUUUUGAAUUAAAAAGUUUAAAUGUCAAUAUAGGACGAGAAGACCCUAUAGAGCUUUAUUUCCUUUAGUUUAAUUAUUUACUUGUAAAUAAUUAUUUAUUAUUUUAAAGGAAAUUUUGUUGGGGUGAUGGAAAAAAUUUAAUAACUUUUUUUAUAUUUUUUAUUUAUUUAUGAAUUUUUGAUCCUUUAGUAAGGAUAAUAAGACUAAGCUACCUUAGGGAUAACAGCGUUAUUAUUUUAGAGAGUUCAUAUUGAUAAAAUAGUUUGCGACCUCGAUGUUGGAUUAAAAUUAGUUUCAGGAGCAGAAUAUUGGUUUACUAGGUCCUGUUCGACCUUUAAAUUUUUACAUGAUCU
rnacentral:rRNA from 1 species